rnacentral:rRNA from 1 species
UACAGAGGUCCCGAGCGUUGUUCGGAUUUAUUGGGCGUAAAGGGUGCGUAGGCGGCGGAGUAAGUUGGGUGUGAAAUCCCGGGGCUUAACCUCGGAAUUGCAUUCAAUACUGCUUCGCUCGAGUACUGGAGAGGAGGCUGGAAUUUACGGUGUAGCAGUGAAAUGCGUAGAUAUCGUAAGGAAGGCCGGUGGCGAAAGCGAGCCUCUGGACAGUUACUGACGCUGAUGCACGAAGGCCAGGGGAGCAAACGGGG